rnacentral:rRNA from 1 species
CCUACGGGAGGCAGCAGUGAGGAAUAUUGGUCAAUGGCCGGAAGGCUGAACCAGCCAUGCCGCGUGAAGGUCAGUGCCCUAUGGGCGUUAAACUUCUUUUGUGCGGGAGCAAUAAUGGUCACGUGUGGCCAGACGAGAGUACCGUACGAAUAAGCAUCGGCUAACUCCGUGCCAGCAGCCGCGGUAAUACGGGGGAUGCAAGCGUUAUCCGGAUUUAUUGGGUUUAAAGGGUGCGUAGGCUGUGAGGUAAGUCAGCGGUGAAAUGCCCCCGCUCAACGGGGUGAAGUGCCAUUGAUACUGCCUGGCUGGAAUGCGGAUGCCGUGGGAGGAAUGUGUGGGGUAGCGGUGAAAUGCAUAGAUAUCACACAGAACACCGAUUGCGAAGGCAUCUCACGAAUCCGCGAUUGACGCUGAUGCACGAAAGCGUGGGUAUCAAACAGGAUUAGAUACCCUAGUAGUC